AUUGAACGCUGGCGGCAGGCCUAACACAUGCAAGUCGAGCGAGCGGCGGACGGGUGAGUAAUGUAUGGGGACCUGCCUGAUGGAGGGGGAUAACUACUGGAAACGGUAGCUAAUACCGCAUACCAUCAGAUGAACCCAGAUGGGAUUAGCUAGUAGGUGAGGUAACGGCUGACCUAGGCGACGAUCCCUAGCUGGUCUGAGAGGAUGACCAGCCACACUGGAACUGAGACACGGCCCAGACUCCUACGGGAGGCAGCAGUGGGGAAUAUUGCGCAAUGGGCGAAAGCCUGACGCAGCAAUGCCGCGUGAAUGAAGAAGGCCUUCGGGUUGUAAAGUUCUGUCAGUAGGGAGGCGGUACCUACAGAAGAAGCAACGGCUAACUCCGUGCCAGCAGCCGCGGUAAUAC
rnacentral:rRNA from 1 species